rnacentral:misc_RNA from 1 species
UGAGCCGCUGCAGCCUUCUGUCCGCGCACCAACUGAACGCUUGCGCUGCCGUCGACACGAUCGAAUCUCGGCCUUUCGGGUCCAUGGCAAGCACCGCACUGGCGGGGGGCGCGCUGCGUUUCCCUUCAGUCGCGCGAGCCUCUCUGCGAACGUAUCGAGGUUCGAUAGCAGCCACGCGGCAUUCGCCGGCGUUGCGCAAUUGGCUGAGUGUGCCACAA